UACGAGGGGGGCAAGCGUUGUUCGGAAUUAUUGGGCGUAAAGAGCUCGUAGGCGGUUUGUCGCGUCUGCUGUGAAAACGCGAGGCUCAACCUCGCGCCUGCAGUGGGUACGGGCAGACUAGAGUGCGGUAGGGGAGAUUGGAAUUCCUGGUGUAGCGGUGGAAUGCGCAGAUAUCAGGAGGAACACCGAUGGCGAAGGCAGAUCUCUGGGCCGUAACUGACGCUGAGGAGCGAAAGCGUGGGGAGCGAACAGG
rnacentral:rRNA from 1 species